GCGACGGUCGUCCAAUAGCAAGAUGCGAGAAUGCCGAUCUCGAGAUGUGGGUGCGAUUCCCGCCCGUCGCU
rnacentral:tRNA from 2 species